rnacentral:rRNA from 1 species
AGCUACUAAGAGCGAAUGGUGGAUGCCUUGACUGGUAAAGGCGAUGAAAGACGUACUAGACUGCGAUAAGCUACGGGGAGCUGUCAAGAAGCUUUGAUCCGUAGAUUUCCGAAUGGGGCAACCCAAUGUAUAGAGAUAUACAUUACCUAUAUAGGAGCGAACGAGGGGAAUUGAAACAUCUUAGUACUCUCAGGAAAAGAAAUCAAUAGAGAUUGCGUCAGUAGCGGCGAGCGAAAGCGCAAGAGGGCAAACCCAGUGCUUGCACUGGGGGUUGUAGGACUGCAAUGUGCAAGAGGUAAGUUUAGCAGAACAUUCUGGAAAGUAUAACCAUAGAGGGUGAUAGUCCCGUAUGCGAAAAACAAACCUUAGCUAGCAGUAUCCUGAGUAGGGCGGGACACGAGGAAUCCUGUCUGAAUCCGGGUCGACCACGAUCCAACCCUAAAUACUAAUACCAGAUCGAUAGUGCACAAGUACCGUGAGGGAAAGGUGAAAAGAACUGAGGUGAUCAGAGUGAAAUAGAACCUGAAACCAUUUGCUUACAAUCAUUCAGAGCCCUAUGUAGCAAUACAGGGUGAUGGACUGCCUUUUGCAUAAUGAGCCUGCGAGUUGUGGUGUCUGGCAAGGUUAAGCAAACGCGAAGCCGUAGCGAAAGCGAGUCUGAAUAGGGCGCUUAGUCAGAUGCUGCAGACCCGAAACGAAGUGAUCUAUCCAUGAGCAAGUUGAAGCUAGUGUAAGAACUAGUGGAGGACUGAACCCAUAGGCGUUGAAAAGCCCCGGGAUGACUUGUGGAUAGGGGUGAAAGGCCAAUCAAACUUCGUGAUAGCUGGUUCUCUCCGAAAUAUAUUUAGGUAUAGCGUUGUGUCGUAAUAUAAGGGGGUAGAGCACUGAAUGGGCUAGGGCAUACACCAAUGUACCAAACCCUAUCAAACUCCGAAUACCUUAUAUGUAAUCACAGCAGUCAGGCGGCGAGUGAUAAAAUCCGUCGUCAAGAGGGAAACAACCCAGACUACCAGCUAAGGUCCCUAAAUCUUACUUAAGUGGAAAACGAUGUGAAGUUACUUAAACAACCAGGAGGUUGGCUUAGAAGCAGCCAUCCUUUAAAGAAAGCGUAAUAGCUCACUGGUCUAGUGAUUUUGCGCGGAAAAUAUAACGGGGCUAAAGUAAGUACCGAAGCUGUAGACUUGCGCACAACUUAGAUUAUUUAAGUUUAGAAUAUGAGAAACUAAGUUAUGUUUAGUUAUAUUUUUACUGAUUUUUAUAGAGUAAAGAUAGAAAUAAAACUUAGUAAAAUCAGUAAAAAUAUUCUUAGGCUAAAGUUAAGUAGUUUAAGUUGUGUGCAAGUGGUAGGAGAGCGUUCUAUUUGCGUCGAAGGUAUACCGGUAAGGAGUGCUGGAGCGAAUAGAAGUGAGCAUGCAGGCAUGAGUAGCGAUAAUUAAUGUGAGAAUCAUUAACGCCGUAAACCCAAGGUUUCCUACGCGAUGCUCGUCAUCGUAGGGUUAGUCGGGUCCUAAGUCGAGUCCGAAAGGGGUAGACGAUGGCAAAUUGGUUAAUAUUCCAAUACCAACAUUAGUGUGCGAUGGAAGGACGCUUAGGGCUAAGGGGGCUAGCGGAUGGAAGUGCUAGUCUAAGGUCGUAGGAGGUUAUACAGGCAAAUCCGUAUAACAAUACUCCGAGAACUGAAAGGCUUUUUGAAGUCUUCGGAUGGAUAGAAGAACCCCUGAUGCCGUCGAGCCAAGAAAAGUUUCUAAGUUUAGCUAAUGUUGCCCGUACCGUAAACCGACACAGGUGGGUGGGAUGAGUAUUCUAAGGCGCGUGGAAGAACUCUCUUUAAGGAACUCUGCAAAAUAGCACCGUAUCUUCGGUAUAAGGUGUGGUUAGCUUUGUAUUAGGAUUUACUCCGAAAGCAAGGAAACUUACAACAAAGAGUCCCUCCCGACUGUUUACCAAAAACACAGCACUCUGCUAACUCGUAAGAGGAUGUAUAGGGUGUGACGCCUGCCCGGUGCUCGAAGGUUAAUUGAUGGGGUUAGCAUUAGCGAAGCUCUUGAUCGAAGCCCGAGUAAACGGCGGCCGUAACUAUAACGGUCCUAAGGUAGCGAAAUUCCUUGUCGGUUAAAUACCGACCUGCAUGAAUGGCGUAACGAGAUGGGAGCUGUCUCAAAGAGGGAUCCAGUGAAAUUGUAGUGGAGGUGAAAAUUCCUCCUACCCGCGGCAAGACGGAAAGACCCCGUGGACCUUUACUACAGCUUGACACUGCUACUUGGAUAAGAAUGUGCAGGAUAGGUGGGAGGCUUUGAGUAUAUGACGCCAGUUGUAUAUGAGCCAUUGUUGAGAUACCACUCUUUCUUAUUUGGGUAGCUAACCAGCUUGAGUUAUCCUC